rnacentral:lncRNA from 1 species
ACGGAUUCAAACUUCUAGUUUCAGCAAAAAGACAAAAGCUACAAGGAAACAGGAAAGUGUGCCCUAUUUAAAGAAGUGAAAGCAGCAGACUUGGUCUCUGAAAAAGAAGUGGUGGCAGAUACCUUGACAGGUCCUUAGAUACUUGAAAACCCUCUCUUGAAGAUGCUCAAAGAACAAGGAAGGACGUGGAGAAAGUCAACACCACGUAUGAACAAAAGGAAGACACCAAUAGAGGGGCAGAAAACCCAGCAAGAAGCCAAGAGGAGAUCCUGGGGCUGAGACGUCUAACAACUCAAGUGGGGAAUUCCCUAGAGGGAGUCAGAGGUGGCACCAGCAAACUAGAAGACAGGACAGUGGAGAUCACAGAGACAAAGGGACACAAAGGAAAGUUGAAAAAAGCCAAGUCUAAGGGAUGUGGGACUCCUAGAUGACAAACUACACAGUUUGAGAGACUCAGAAGAGAAGAGAAGGGCAGAAAGAAUACCCAAGGGUAUAGUGGUGGACCGUCACGCAGUUUGAUGGAAAGAUAGGAUUAUGAACCUCCAAGAAGUUUUAAGGAAUUCUAAGUCAGAUGAACCCAAGAAACCCAUGUACUGUAGUUAGACUUUCGAACAGUCUUGGAAACAGCAGGUGUCACACACAGGCUUCCUUAAUAACAUGAUGCAGAGAUCUGUCAUCUUGGGGCCAUGAGCCAGUAGGCAAAUACCCUGAAAAUGCUGGAAGAAUCCUGUGUCGGCAAAAUGGCCCUUCAACAGAGAGAUUAAAACAUUCCCAGAUAGAAGCCCAGGGCUUUACCGCCACAGGCCUGCCCUGCGGUCAGUGCACAAGAGUCCUGUAGGGUGAAAUGAAGGGAAGCCAGAGGGUAACCUGAUGCCAGAUGGAGUCAGGAGCUCAGUGGACGUAAGGAUGUGGCAGUCACAAAAGCUGGUACUGCCAUGUUGGUUUGUUUUCUACAUAAUUUAAGGGACUAAUGUGUUUAAAAGAAAAAUUUGUUAUUGUGCACACGAUGUAUUGAGAUGAUCUCCCAGUAUCAAACCCAAAGGUGUGGGACAGCUGUAAGGAGCCAUUUCAUAGGCUGUGGGAGGCGAGCCUGUAUCCACGAAUGGGUCACAACGUUAAGAUGCCAAACGGUGCCACCAUGGCAGCUGCACAGAACAGUUCUACAGUGUAUACACCCAGGAAAUAAGGAAGGGGCUCGAAUAUUCUCAACCAGAAAAAUCAACUAAACGCGAAGACAGCGGUUCAAGAAAUGCGGGACGAGAAAAGCCUAAAGGGUAAACCAUUAGAAGACG